rnacentral:miRNA from 1 species
AAGCAUAUUUUUAUCAAAUACUC